rnacentral:rRNA from 1 species
GAAAGUUGAAAAGAACUUUGAAGAGAGAGUUCAAAAGGGCGUGAAACCGCUUAGAAGAAAACGGACGGAGCCGUCAGGGGCCUUUGGGAAUCAGUCUUACGAUACGCGAAGGUAUCGCGGUUCAGAGCGCAAGCCUGGCCGUGGUAUAGUAAGUUAGUAGCGUUCGUUUGGCGCAUUUCUCGAAGGUGAGCACUGCGACCGAUACGAAAGGCCAACGAGGCGAUUGGAUUGAGGGCGAGAGCUCUCGCGGGUUCACGUAACCAGUCUAUUCGUGUAUAGUCGUUGGACCGCAGUAUGUAUCGAGAGCCAAAGUAAAAAUAUACGUUGGCGUAAGCGCUCGCUCGAAUAACGGAUAGUUGGUCGAUAGGUUGGUAUCUGCUCGCAGGUAUCGACUUGUUCGAUUCGACUUUGAAGUUGUCGGCGACUCUAACGUAUAGGCGUCAGCAGUGUCAGUGUCGGCCACCCAUCCGACCCGUCUUGAAACACGGACCAAGGAGUCUAACAUAUGCGCGAGCCAAUGGGUGGAAAACCCAAAGGCGCAAUAAAAGUAAAAGCUGUUUCGGACAGCCGAGGUACGAUCCUAGGAUCCGAGCGAUACUAGGCGCAGUACCGUCCCAUCCCGACCGCAUAUCGGUAGGGUGGAGAUAGAGUGCAUACGUUGGGACCCGAAAGAUGGUGAACUAUGCCUGAGCAGAGCGAAGCCAGAGGAAACUCUGGUGGAGGUUCGUAGCGGUUCUGACGUGCAAAUCGAUCGUCAGACUUGGGUAUAGGGGCGAAAGACUAAUCGAACCAUCUAGUAGCUGGU